GACACACGCACACUGCACACACAUCAACCACCGUAAGUACGUAUCACGCGCCACAUGCACCAGCACGCUAAAGGUUUGUUCGGCUGUAGUCGGUCCGUUCGAUUUGUACGCGAUCCUAGUGUUGCGAUUUAUUAAUAUACAUAAUACAUUUUUAAACUAUAAUAGUGAAAAUAAUUUUAAAAAUAUCGCCUACCAAAUAACGUCCACAAAAAAGGCCGUUUUUGUUUUACGCGGACGUCUCGCGUUUUGUUUUGAUUGAAAAAAAAAAUUGUUUGAUCGUCAGAAGCGACAAUGAACAAAAAUGUACGGAAAAAAGGCAAUGCCGUCCGAAAAGCCGGUGUAAAAAAGGAAAAUCCCGACGAAGAAAUCAAAGAGUACGUAGAGACCACUAUGAACGAAAUGCUCGGAUGGUACGGUUACGACAAAAUGAACUCCAAAGACUGUUCUUUGCAUAGCGUUAACCUAAUGAAACUCAAAAACAAGUACAGAAGUCGAUCCGGAAGCACUGAACCGGACACGUCGUCAGACGAGUACGUCAGCCCGCGGUCUCCCAGCACGCUAUCGAGUUCACCGGUCGAACAGAUAACGACAUGCGGUUGGUGCGACAAAGCGAUAGCGGCCAAAGCGUUCACAUUCCGCACAGCAGAGCCCAACAUUGAAAAAGUAUUUUGUUCUGAGCAAUGUUUUUCACAGUACAGGCGGGCCAAUUUCAAACGAAACAAGACGUGUGAUUGGUGCAGACACCUGCGGCACACAGUCAACUGCGUAGACUUCCAAGACGGCGACCAUCAGCUACAAUUCUGCAGUGACAAAUGUCUGAACCAGUACAAGAUGAAUAUAUUUUGCAAGGAGACCCAGGCCCAAUUGGAGUUGCACCCUCACUUACAGAACACUUCGUUGCCGGAGAGCGUAUGCAAGUCCCUCGAACCAAAUUUGCCACUCAUCACGCCGGACCUAUGGUUACGUGACUGUCAAUCGCCAUCCGACAGGUCACCUUCACCUAGGAAGAGUUCACCGGCAGAACCUCCACAGCUUCGGGUGUCCAACAAGCUGUUUGACCGUCCAAGUCGCAAACGCAAGCGACUGUUGAACACCGAAGAAGUUAGGACGCCUCAGCCUGGUUACAAUCAGUGUCAGAGUCGCGUUCCGGUCUAUUGCACUCCUCCAUUGUGCCGGUCACCUGUAUUCACACAAUCGCAACCGACGAGUAGCAACACAUCAAGCAGCGAACAACAAGCCCCACCACAACCUCCUCCACCGUCCAUCUAUCCAAUGACAAUGCCGCAGUCAAUACUUCCGCCACCCAUGAUCUUAGUACCAUAUCCAAUAAUGUUACCAAUACCGAUACCUAUCCCCAUACCUAUACCACUACCAUAUUUUCACAAAGAGACCGAUAGUACAACCAAAGAAGUAAAAGACGAGAAAUGAGCAAAAUAAGAAAUAUGUAAAACAAAAAUUACAGAGUAUAAAGAAUUUAAUUAAAACAUCAUAAGAAAUAAACCACAAAAAAUUACUGAAACAGAUAGGUUGUAUGUUGUCUACUCAGAUACAGUGAUUUUAGGCGUGACGACGGCUGGGUUCCAUGGACAACAUUAUAAGGGACGAGAGGCUAAGAUUAAGGCAGUAAAAAAAAAUAUGGUCAAAAAUCUAAACACCAUGAUUCUGACUCUGAUGAUCAUGACAAUAAAGCAAGCAAUAACGAUCAUUUUAUGAUUGAAAUCGUUAGUUUAGAUGAAAAAAGAGAAUAUUUAGAGAAUGAAGAAACAUUUAAAGAUGUCGAUGGGGAUAAAGACUUAUUAAUUGAUAAACUCAUCACUUAUCUUUACCCAAUUUUGAAUAAGGAGGCUUUAAGACAGUCACAAGCUACAUACGAUCAAGUAAUGGCCAAUCGAACGGGUGAUAGACGUAAAGUACACCAGGAAUUCUGAGACAAGAAUCAAGAUCUUAUUGCUGAUUGCAGAUUUUCAUCAGUACGUUAAAGGUAUUCAGAAGUUUGAGAGUUCAGAUGUCCAAACCCAACUUACAACAUAUUUGUUAAAGUCAACUGGAGGAGAAAUGGUUGAAAGUGUUAAAAAAUAUAUAGCGCAAAACAGAGAAAACGAUUUGGAGUCAAAAUCUAAUCAAUAUGAUGACAGUCAAAUUCAAAAUGCUGUUGAAAAGUUACAAAAAUCGUUUAUGUCAAAAACCACAGACGAUUUUUAUGAUGCGGUAGACCAUUUGUUAUCUUCUGUAGAUAUAGUAGAAAAGAAACAUGAUCGCAAAAAGAAGAGUUUUUGUUUUAGAGAAAAUGUACAAAAUAAUCGACAACUGCUAUUGAAAUCGUUAUCCGAUGUUAAAGAUGAUCCUGCUGAAGUCUUGCUCGUCUUUACGGUAUACCCAAAUUCUUUUUCUCAAACAGUUUCUCAAAAUAUGAUCAAAGUGUCUGGUCAAAUUUGUAUCAUCUGUUUUGGGAUUUUUACAAAAAUAUCUUAACGAGAAUAAUCUUAUACUUUUACAAAACUACCAUGAUCUCGUUGUUCAGUUAUUAAAAACUGAAAACAAGAUAAAGAAGAUAAAGAAAGAAUUAACUCCCAAUUAAAAGAUACCACUAGUGCAGUAAAAGACCAAAAAAUAGUUAGGUACAAAAAAAAUACCAACUA